CUUGCAGCGGACGGAUCUAUGUGCGGCAGGGGCUGGGGAGGAUCCGAGACGGGCGGCGACGACGUGGGUCGCCGAUGACAACGAGGAAAGCCAGAGCGCGACUUCCCGGGCGGACCCAUGGCAUCCGGGGCUCCUGUCAGAAAGGAGACAGGGAGAUGGGGGGAGGAGAAAAGGGGGGAAAGGAGGGGAGGUGCGGCGACAGGAGGUCGGACGAGGCGGCGGCUUCCUGCAGUAGACGGCAACGCGGUGCAGGGUGCUGUCCACGGGUGUCAUGGGGCCGUCCUCCUCACCUCAGCUUCCUGGACCUCACACGCCUGCUCCCUUGCCAAGUACGUACGUCCAAGCGGCCACCAUACUCACCACCUCCGCCGACUUCCCCUAUGGUGCCAAUCUCAAGAGCCCCGACAGCUCGAUUCCGUGCAUCCCGGCUCGAUUACUUCAAGGAGGAGGAGGAUGAACGCGUGGCGGAGGUCCUGGACACGGCCGACUGUCCCAGGAAGGUCUGCAGCAACGGCGGCCUCUGGUGCACGCGGAGGUCUCCGUCUCCGUGGAGGUGGAAAUUUAAUUCGACCUCACCUGGGGCUGCCGGCGGACUCCUCCCGAAGCUCCUGCACGCCGCCACGAUGAGCACGCCCAGGCUCGUGAUGGCCUCGAAUACAAAUACGGUCUGCGGCCACAGGCGGAGACCAGCGCCCUCUGGAUCGCCAAGCUCUGUUCAAACCAAAAGACAAGCGUAGGUUUUCGAAUUGCUUGAAGUUAUACAGUUGAGAUGUCUAGACAUUUCAAUGAAAUACCCUCAGUUGCUUUGAAAUCUGAGAGCUGAAUCGUAGGUGUGCAUUUGAACCUGUGAAAUUAUUAUUUUGUUUUUUGUUAUCUCAUCAAUUUUGCCCUGCCAUACAGAAAUGUCCAUUUGGUUUCUGUCUGCUGUCCUGCAGACGGACUCAAUAGUGGCUCUGUUAUCUUGCUGUUGAUUGAGUUGAUUCCUAUUUUUCCUCUGGCAGAAAUUGAAAACAGAUAAGUGCAGAUAAUAAGCGCGAACAGGUCCAUCAAUUUCGCGAACCCCAUAUAUCCAUGAUCUGAUAAGCUGGACCUGAGAUCAAAUAUCACACUGAUUAUUGAUUGCAGAAAGCUAAGUAUCAACUAUGCCCGAAUAAUGAGCGGAUGCUUUGCAGAUUUUGUCUUCUGUAGACUGAAUACUGCCAGUGACUAUAUUAUCCAGCAGAGCACUUAUAUGCCUUCACUAAGAACAAAAGGUGGGUACUUGCAACCACUUAUUCUUCCUUGUAACUGCAAAAAGAAUAUCCUCAGGAGAUGAGUGGCCAAUAUAAGCAGGCAACAGAAUUUGCUUGCUUGAUAUGAGAUGCCCAGCAUUAUUAUGUCUGUGUUACGCAGAGGUCUCCGUGGAGGUGGAAAUUUAAUUCGGCCUCACCUGGGGCUGCCGGCCUCCCUGAGCUCCUGCUGCCGGCGGCCUCCUCCCGAAGCUCCUGCCGGCCUCCUCCCAGAGCACCAAGCACGAACAAGGAAACCUUGACACACACUUGCGUCCAGUAGCUCGAUCUGCUGGUGCUAGGAGGGGAUUACCCUUAGAGUUGCAGCCGGUGCUGAGCACUCAUAGUUUCAGGUAUUAUUUCUUAGUUAAUUUGUUCAAGAUGGAUGUGGCUGAUUCGAUAUUUCGAUUGGAAAAAAUUCUUGAAGUCUGUAACCCAGUUUAUGUCUCAAUGAGCCAAAACAGUGGGAAGUUUCUGUUUCGUGGAAGAACUAUGAGUGCAAGCGAACCAAGAAGCACACAAAACAGUGAGCUAACUAUAGUCCCGUUGAGCUCCUAGCUACAGCGUACUCAGCAGAGCACUGCUUGCGAUGGAGGCUCAUUGACAUCUGCCAGAUAUAGUAAGGAUAAAAAUUAUGUUUGCUGAACAACGGUUGUAUUUAUUUUCGCACAAUGCGUUUUUACACAUGCUUCUCAAAAAUAAUUACAUUGUGUUUGCUGAUCUGAUGUUUAAUCUCCAUACACACAAAUUAUGUAUUUAUUU